rnacentral:lncRNA from 1 species
CCGAGACCCACUUGGUCCAUUCAAACAAGCCCGGCUCUAUCCGAAUUUUCAGGUUGUUCUCUUGUUGCAUACCUUUCAGGAUAUUGUGUGCUGUCUGUACACACCGAAGGGACGGGGAGCUGUAGAUGUAGUCUACAAUGGUGUUAGUUUCUAGCAAGGCUUCUCCAACGAGCCUCGCCUGCAUACAGCCAAGCACAGUGAUGGGCGCAUCUUUUUCAUAAUCCCUGAACCCGCCGCUCCUUUGAGGUAAGCUGUGAGGCAUAUUCAGGUUACUGCGCACGUACCUUCCUUUGGCAUCAAAACACUGUGACAACCAGUACUUCCCAAAAACAACAUCCAUUCUCUCCC